GGACCUGCGGAAGGAUCAUGUGACCAUAGAGUAAGGGUGCUCAGCGCCCGACCUCCAACCCUUUGUUGUUAAAACUACCUUGUUGCUUUGGCGGGACCGCUCGGUUCCGAGCCGCUGGGGAUUCGUCCCAGGCGAGCGCCCGCCAGAGUUAAACCAAACUCUUGUUAUUUAAACCGGUCGUCUGAGUUAAAAUUUUGAAUAAAUCAAAACUUUCAACAACGGAUCUCUUGGUUCUCGCAUCGAUGAAGAACGCAGCGAAAUGCGAUAAGUAAUGUGAAUUGCAGAAUUCAGUGAAUCAUCGAAUCUUUGAACGCACAUUGCGCCCCUUGGUAUUCCGAGGGGCAUGCCUGUUCGAGCGUCAUUACACCACUCAAGCUAUGCUUGGUAUUGGGUGCCGUCCUUAGUUGGGCGCGCCUUAAAGACCUCGGCGAGGCCUCACCGGCUUUAGGCGUAGUAGAAUUUAUUCGAACGUCUGUCAAAGGAGAGGACUUCUGCCGACUGAAACCUUUUAUUUUUUCUAGGUUGACCUCGGAUCAGGUAGGGAUACCCGCUGAACUUAAGCAUAUCAAAG
rnacentral:rRNA from 1 species